GACAGCGUGUCCGAGUGGUUAAGGAGGUGGACUUGAAAUCCGCUAGGCUCAGCCUGCGCAGGUUCGAAUCCUGUCGCUGUCG
rfam:Perkinsus marinus ATCC 50983 gcontig_1104296778090, whole genome shotgun sequence.